rnacentral:rRNA from 1 species
UACGUAGGCAGCAAGCGUUGUUCGGAGUUACUGGGCGUAAAGGGCGCGUAGGCGCUUGUCAGUCAGGCGUGAAAGCCCCGGGCUCAACCUGGGAACGGCGCUUGGGACGGCGAGGCUGGAGUUCGGGAGAGGAGAGUGGAAUUCCCAGUGUAGAGGUGAAAUUCGUAGAUAUUGGGAAGAACACCGGUGGCGAAGGCGGCUCUCUGGACCGACACUGACGCUGAGGCGCGAAAGCGUAGGGAGCAAACAGG